rnacentral:rRNA from 1 species
GACGAACGCUGGCGGCGUGCUUAACACAUGCAAGUCGAACGGAAAGGCCCUGCUUUGGGGGGGAGCUGGAGGGGCGAACGGGGGAGUAACACGUGGGUAACCAGUCCUUGACCGUGGGGGAACUUAAGGAAACUGGGGGUAAUACGGGCUAGGAGUUCCUGCUGCAUGGUGGGGGUGGGAAAGUUUCGGCGGUUGGGGGUGGACUCGCGGCUUAUCAGCUUGUUGGUGGGGUAGUGGCUUACCAAGGCUUUGACGGGUAGCCGGCCUGAGAGGGUGACCAGCCACAUUGGGACUGAGAUACGGCCCAGACUCCUACGGGUGGCAGCAGUGGGGAAUAUUGCAAAAUGGGCGGAAGCCUGAUGCAGCAACGCCGCGUGCGGGAUGACGGCCUUCGGGUUGUAGUCCUCAUUCGCUUGUGACGAAGCGUGAAUGACGGUAAUGGGUAGAAAAGCCCCGGCUUACUACGUG